AUUAAAAGUACAAAAAUAUGUGUUGAGAUUAUUGGAAGCAAUAAGUUCAAGAUUGAAAUAACAUUUGGUUUAUUGUUUGGUCAUUUUACCAUGAUAAUGUUUAAGUAAAUGUAAUGAAAAAAUUUGACACAAAAUUAAGUGUUGAAACUGAAUCUAGGCUCACAAUCAAUUGUAAGCUGAUGAACAAAUUGAAAUGCAUUGACGACGCCCACAUUGACUUACUCCAACCCACAAGAGCUUCAAACACCCUGUAUAUGGUCAUAGGUGUGUGUGAGUGUGCGUAUCUUUUGCACAGUGUUUGAUGAUCACACAGUGAGAGAGGAAGACGCAGACAAGCUUAAAGUUACUUUGGUGAAACAACAUUCAACUGACUGAGAAAAUUGUUGUUUUUUUGUGUUGUUGUUUCGUGUAUCCCAAUUAAGCAAUGGAAGAUCGUCCGGAUGAUGAUUUGUGUUCAAAUGAAAGUUCAAUAAUGGUCAACAAUCAGCCAAGUGAUAAUGACGCUAUUGAAGCUUCUGAUAAUGUUAAUGUGACUACUACUUGUUCCAAUUCGGUAAACAACAGUUUACCCUCGGCUUCAUCUUCAUCUUCAUCAUCUUCAUCCUCUUCAUCAUCCUCAUCACCCUAUUCAACUCAUCACAAUUCAUCGACACAAGGUUCAGCCCCUGGUCCAGGUUUAUUUCAUCCAACAAUAAGAUCUGUUUUUCCAUUUUCAAAUUCACCCAUGUGUGUACCUUUUUCACCCUUUUACGGUCACUCUUCUUAUGGGACUCAAAUCACGACAACAGCUCACCAUGCAUAUGCCACACAGAUAAACUUAUUCAACAAUUAUCUUGCUCAUGCAGCACUUUCACGCCCCUGGUCCCGUCCUCGAUCACCAAAUCAACCCUUGAAGUGUCCACUUUGCUUGGUUUCCCUUGAAGGAAGUGAUAUAACCUCACAUUUUGUAGAAGAGGUUAAACAAUUGGAAGCCCUUAGAAGUCGUCUUCGUGGAUGGGAAUCAAAGGAAAACAAUUUAACUGAUGUCGAUAUAAAAAAAGAGUUAAACGAACCCGAAGAUGGUUUCAAAAGAUCUCGAUUACAUUCAGACAAGAUUCCUCCCUGUACACGUUGGCAGACAUAUCAAAGAGUCAAACAGAAUCGUCACACAAGGAUAUCAGGUAUUUUAAGAACCAAAAGGUACGAUGAGCAAAUUAAGAUGGAAGACUCAACAACAACAUCAUCAUCAUCUUCAACGAUUACAUCAGCGACUACCUUUAAACCUGUUAAUCGAGGUAUUUGGACAAUUGUUGAUGACAUUAAGAAUCAAGACUUACCCAGAAUGCUCGAUUGUUACAGGACGAUAGGAAUAAAAAGAUGAUACGAUCCAUGAACCAUCAUCAUCAUCAUCAUCACAAUAUCAAUGAUAAUCAAGACAAUCUUGAAACUGUCACAAUAAGCGAUGAUAACUCGCUACCAAGCACUAAGGACUGUGAAAAUGGAUCAAUAGAUGAUUUUGAAAAUCAAAAUGGAACCAAUUGUGACAAUAGACGAAUUUAAACAUUUGAUUAGUUCAUUUGUUUCCGAAUGCCGUUAACUGUUGAAUCAACUGUAUUAUUAACAUUCCCUUCGAUUUCUUCUUUAUCUUCAUACCUCAUCAUGGAUCAUCAUAAUAUUCAUGUCAAUCAACUUUACCUAAACAUGAACACUCAUGAUUAUUAUUAUGAUUACAAUUACAAUUGCGAACGAGAAAAAAAUACUAUUAAUAUUAUAAUUAUUAUUAUUACUAUUAUUAUUAUAGCUAAAACUGUAAUUGUACAUAACGGCAAAAUUCAAUUGUAAAACUUGACACAACUUAACGGUUUAAAUGCAAAAAAACAAUACAAGAAACAAAACUGAGAAACAAAAGGCAAAGAAAAAUGUAAAUAUUGAAGUCUCGUUUGUAAAACAUCGCAAUCAAAAGAAUGGUUAAACAAAAAUUUAAUGGUUAAAUAACAAUUAAAGCAAAUCGAUUGUCAAACAAACUGAAACGCAACCAUUUUAAUCGUUCAAAUUGUUGAAAACUUAUGUUCAUUAAUAAAUGCAAAGACUGUAAAGACCGAAAUA